GAUGAACGCUGGCGGCGUGCCUAAUACAUGCAAGUCGAGCGAACGGACGAGAAGCUUGCUUCUCUGAUGUUAGCGGCGGACGGGUGAGUAACACGUGGAUAACCUACCUAUAAGACUGGGAUAACUUCGGGAAACCGGAGCUAAUACCGGAUGAUAUUUUGAACCGCAUGGUUCAAAAGUGAAAGACGGUCUUGCUGUCACUUAUAGAUGGAUCCGCGCUGCAUUAGCUAGUUGGUAAGGUAAUGGCUUACCAAGGCAACGAUGCAUAGCCGACCUGAGAGGGUGAUCGGCCACACUGGAACUGAGACACGGUCCAGACUCCUACGGGAGGCAGCAGUAGGGAAUCUUCCGCAAUGGGCGGAAGCCUGACGGAGCAACGCCGCGUGAGUGAUGAAGGUCUUCGGAUCGUAAAACUCUGUUAUUAGGGAAGAACAUAUGUGUAAGUAACUGUGCACAUCGUGACGGUACCUAAUCAGAAAGCCACGGCUAACUACGUG
rnacentral:rRNA from 1 species